GGCCCUCAAAAAAGUGAAUUAGAAGAACUUCUGGAAUAGAAAGCUUUGGGCCAGUGAGAGUAAGGUUAAUAAAGCGGUCCCAUGAUUUCCUAAGAGAUUCUUUUUCCAGUUGUCUAAAAGAAAUAAUCUCACGCCGAAGUUCCGCCACUUUGGAGAUUGGAAAAUAUUUAGAAAGAAAACUACUAUAUAACUCCUUCCAAUCUCCAUGAACACUCCCUAUUUUGAGUUUGUACCAAUGUCUAGCUUUUCCCGUUAAAGAGAACGGAAAGAGCUUCCAUUUGAGGGUCUCAUCGGACAUUCCUUCUAUGCGAAGGAGGUCAUAGACUCGAUAAAACUCUCUUAGGUGUGUGUAUGGGUUUUUCUCACCUUCUCCUGAGAAAGGUUGUUUUUGAACAAAUUCUAUGUAUUCGGGGUCUAUCUCAAAACUAGAUGCUAUGAUGGCUUUGAAGAUUUUGGUGGUUCGAGAUGUGUGCCCGUAGGUCUAUGAAAUUCAUAGAUAGACAUGUUUGAAUUCAUGAUAGACCAGAGAUCAAGGAUUAGAUAAGAAGAAAGAUUAGCAGAGAUGAGGCAAAGGAUAAAAAGAAUUUUUUUUUAUUUUUUUAGAAAAUGAUUAAGCUAGUUCGUAGUCAACUCAGCAACCGUUUCCCCGGCAACGGCGCCAAAAAUGCUUGUUGACACUUGCUAACACCACUUGAAUACUAGGUUGUCAUCCCCAGCAUGGCACUAGAGUGUACUAUGGUAUUUAUACGCACACAGAUAAUCCGCAAGCGCACGGAUACCGUUGAAGCUUUUACCCGGUUAAAGCUUUUAUCGUAUCCACAGGGAAAUGGGAGAACUAAUCUACGCUCUAACUUAACCAAGAUAAGUAAAUAGGUGUAAAUAGGAAAGAUGGUAGAAUUGAAUAAGAACAAUAUUAAAGGUAAGAUAACAGUGAGUGAUAAUAUGGGAAUAGAGGUGGAUAAACCCUACCCGUCCUGCUAACGAGAGGUGGACUACAAAGGACCAAUGUAACUGUCACCAACGCGGCCUACCACACGAUCCAGCUAGACAGGGCAUAUCCACAUGUAAUCUAGAUCUAAGCACCUCGCUCACACCAAUACUACAACUCUAACCUAUAGCAUCCUAUCUAUACUAUAAUGGACCAAUUAAAACUAUUCUAGGUCUACCAACAAAAAUGUCCCGCGCUGAGAGUCUCUAAUCAUUAUGUACCCAGAAAAAUACACACAACAAAUCGGCUCUAUUAAAAUUAAAGGCUAAAAAAGACUCGAACCCAAUCCAACGGCUCA
rnacentral:lncRNA from 1 species